CCAAACAUUCAUAGUGAUGCUGCUUUUCAACCCCUCGGUGUUGGCUCUCUUGUCAUUGUGAAGCACAGUUUACCAAGUUUUGAUUGUUCACCUACUAAUAGGGAAGGAGAGCUGGGAUUACAUUGUCUCCAGACAGGUU
rnacentral:ncRNA from 1 species